AGAGUUUGAUCAUGGCUCAGAACGAACGCUGGCGGCAGGCUUAACACAUGCAAGUCGAACGCCCCGCAAGGGGAGUGGCAGACGGGUGAGUAACACGUGGGAACAUGCCCAAAGGUACGGAACAACUCCGGGAAACUGGAGCUAAUACCGUAUGUGUCCGUAAGGAGAAAGAUUUAUCGCCUUUGGAUUGGCCCGCGUCGGAUUAGCUAGUUGGUGGGGUAAAAGCCUACCAAGGCGACGAUCCGUAGCUGGUUUGAGAGAACGACCAGCCACACUGGGACUGAGACACGGCCCAGACUCCUACGGGAGGCAGCAGUGGGGAAUCUUGGACAAUGGGCGCAAGCCUGAUCCAGCCAUGCCGCGUGGAUGAUGAAGGCCUUAGGGUUGUAAAAUCCUUUCGCCGAGGACGAUAAUGACGGUACUCGGAGAAGAAGCUCCGGCUAACUUCGUGCCAGCAGCCGCGGUA
rnacentral:rRNA from 1 species